UACGGAGGGAGCUAGCGUUGUUCGGAAUUACUGGGCGUAAAGCGCGCGUAGGCGGCUUUGUAAGUUAGAGGUGAAAGCCCGGAGCUCAACUCCAGAACUGCCUUUGAUACUGAGGAUCUUGAGUACGGGAGAGGUGAGUGGAACUGCGAGUGUAGAGGUGAAAUUCGUAGAUAUUCGCAAGAACACCAGUGGCGAAGGCGGCUCACUGGCCCGAUACUGACGCUGAGGCACGAAAGCCAGGGGAGCAAACGGGG
rnacentral:rRNA from 1 species